rnacentral:rRNA from 1 species
UACGAAGGGGGCUAGCGUUGCUCGGAAUCACUGGGCGUAAAGGGUGCGUAGGCGGGUCUUUAAGUCAGGGGUGAAAUCCUGGAGCUCAACUCCAGAACUGCCUUUGAUACUGAAGAUCUUGAGUUCGGGAGAGGUGAGUGGAACUGCGAGUGUAGAGGUGAAAUUCGUAGAUAUUCGGAAGAACACCAGUGGCGAAGGCGGCUCACUGGACCGGAACUGACGCUGAGGCGCGAAAGCGUGGGGAGCAAACAGG